UGGGGAAUAUUGGACAAUGGGCGAAAGCCUGAUCCAGCCAUGCCGCGUGUGUGAAGAAGGCCUUUUGGUUGUAAAGCACUUUAAGCUAGGAGGAGGCUACUUGGAUUAAUACUCUAGGAUAGUGGACGUUACUCGCAGAAUAAGCACCGGCUAACUCUGUGCCAGCAGCCGCGGUAAUACAGAGGGUGCGAGCGUUAAUCGGAUUUACUGGGCGUAAAGCGUGCGUAGGCGGCUUUUUAAGUCGGAUGUGAAAUCCCUGAGCUUAACUUAGGAAUUGCAUUCGAUACUGGGAAGCUAGAGUAUGGGAGAGGAUGGUAGAAUUCCAGGUGUAGCGGUGAAAUGCGUAGAGAUCUGGAGGAAUACCGAUGGCGAAGGCAGCCAUCUGGCCUAAUACUGACGCUGAGGUACGAAAGCAUGGGGAGCAAACAGG
rnacentral:rRNA from 1 species